CGUGCGCUUGCUGAAUGCAUUGUGCGCUUGCUGAAUCAUUGUGCGCAAUCGGACUUUUAUUGCUGAUUUUCGUUCAUCAAACGUCUCCAAAUCACACCAAAAUGUCUUCCAGCAAUUAUUCUAGCGAUGAAAUUUCAUCAAUAGAUAGUGACUCCUCAUACUCCGAUGUCUCCUUAUCCCAUUUUAGUGAUUCUUCCCAAGAAAAUGAGCCCGACAAAUUUUCAAAAUAUUAGUCCCACUCGUAGAGAUACAAGUUUGUUGUCGAAUGAUGGACCAUCGACGAGCGGAAUUGGAACUGGCCCCAGAAAACAGCUGAAAAGGAAUCAGAAAACCCAACCUGCUAUUAAAGUGCUAAGCACCAGGCAAGCCAAGAAGAAGAGCAAGUCUUCCAAGUCCGAGAAUGUGUCUGCGAGAUCCAUUGAAAGUUGAAACUAAUCAAGAGACAAUGUACAUGUAACGUACAACCACCAUUCGAUUAGAUGCCUGUGAACAGCAUGACCAACAUCUGUAUCCUUUACAUUAGUAUUUGUUUCCAUUUUAUUAUGUAAUUCUUAUGUCUAAUCAAUAAUCAUUGAGAUUCAUAGGCAAGUACAACAUGUAUGUGUACACAAUGAGUGCCUGCAUAUUGUGAAGAUAAAGGACCAUAAGACCAUUACUUAUGAAUGGUAAUGAUGGUAUACUUUGUAAAACUAUUUGAAAAUAGUAGCAUGUAAGUCUGUCAUUUUUAUAUCUCAAUGACAUGACAUGUCAUUGAUUUUGUAGUAAGUGUUUCUAGAAUAUGAUGAUUGUAUUAAGAUUUUGACAGUUCCAUUGAGAUUGAGAAAAUUAUGUAACAUGUCAACUGUACUAUAAAGCAUACGUGCAUUGUUGAAAAAUCUGUUCUAUGAUUUAUCAGGUGGGCUGUAUAACGUACAAACCACCUUAUAAUUUCGUUAGAAUUGCCUUUAUUUAUUUAUUAUUAAAUAUUUUUCUUAUUUCUAACCACUUUUUUGUGAACAAGAUAACACGUAAAUGGCUCGAUCAAAAUCCUUGAAAUUUGGCACAUAUAUGUAAAGACAUAUGAACAAAGCACAGAAAUUUUUUCAACCUUGAACUUGACUGAUGAAAUCAUCUAGGUGCCAUUUUGUAAAAUUUUACGAAAAUCAACUCAUGAUCUUAUCUUCAUAACCAGAAGGUAAAACUCAUUCAUAUUUAUCAUGCUUAAGGUCAAUA